rnacentral:tmRNA from 1 species
GGGGGCGACAAGGUUUCGACGUGUGUCGCAAAACUCCAGGUGCAUGCCGAGGUGCAGGUGCCUCGUAAAACUGUCUGCAAACUUAUAGUUGCCAACGACGACAAC